rnacentral:misc_RNA from 1 species
GUGAUUUUAAUUAAUGACAGCUUCAACAACUUAGAGAGGGUGUUUUGUUAAGAUUUCAGAAGCAGUGGACAUUCACUGACAAUACAAUGUCCAAUGACAUUAUUAUCAUUUUGUCAGCAGUUUGAAUUAUUUCAUGUAACAGAAGAAGAGCUGUUCUUUUUACCUUGGUGAUUUACAAUGGAUCCAAUACCAGCGCAAACCAGAAGUAUUUCUCCAAGUCCCAACCCACUUUAUGGAUUGGAAUCCGUCUUGCAAGAUGAGCCGAUCGGAGUUGAGAAUGAACCGACCGUUCAACAAGUUCCUGCUAGUGUUCCAGAUCAUCAGGAACUGAGGAGAAGAUCUCACACAGAGCCGAGUGAUAAAGAUGAUGUUGAUUUUAAUGAAGCUGAUCAGAUUAGUGAAAUUACUGAUCUGAACUAUCCUCGAGUCAACUGCCCGGAAAAAAUCGUAAUAUGCCUUGAUAUGUCAUCAGAAAUGAACAAGUUAAGCUUCAGAUCAAGAUCAGGAGAUAAAUUUGCACCACUGAAGUUAAUAAAGAGAGCUCUUGGGUUGUUCCUGCAGACCAAGUUGAGACUGAAUCACUACCAUCAGUUCGCACUAGUCAUCAUGCAGGAGGAGGCAUGCUGGGUGUGUGAUUUCACAUACAGUGCUCGGGAAAUCAUCCACCAUCUGGAGGAGUACAGCAGCACAUCAGAGUGUACAUCCUUUGACCUCUCCUCUGUGUACAACACUCUGAAGGAGAACGUUGAGCUGCCUGUAGUUCUGGGAGAUCAGAGCGUUAUCCCCCCAUCACAUGUCGUACGUGUCAUCUUCAUCUACGGCAGGUCACAGUGCCAGCUCAACUUCUCGGAUAAAGAGGCCCAGAAAUUUCUUGAGUCUUCCCCAUAUUUCUUCCUUGAUGCCUUCUACAUACAUGAACCUGUAGCUGAUGACAACAAGUGUGAGGAAACUUUCAACACAUUGUGCGACCUGGACUGCAAGGGGUUGUCGUACAUUGUUGAGAUAUCACGGAACCCCACAAAGCUUCAUGACUACAUGGCACAGUUGUUGGCUCAUCCGCUACAGCGACCGCUACAGUCUGAUACAGCCUACAAGAUACAGCCACCCGAGGAGAUCAGAUAGUUUACACCAUCAACACCUCAACACACACUUCAACACGACUGGCAACAUUCAUGGCAAUGUCAAAGAGAAGGCUAACAGUCUGGAUGAAAGAAGGCUUAGAUGAUCUGGACAUUUUCUGAUGGCAAAUAUGUUGAAUCCCUUACAGUCUAGGAAGGAUAACAAUAUAUGGAUGAACAACUUCUUUAUUGCUGUGAGAGCGAUGUUUCGUGAUGAACAGCAUAAGGAUGAAGGAGUAUAUACAAGUUAAAGCAGAUGUCCAUAUAUUGUUAUCCUUCCGAACUGCUCCAACUUGUAAAUGCCUCUCAAAGAAGUUAACCCUUACAGUCUAGUUUAUGCCACGUGAAUAUCUUCCAUAACACAUAGGGGUAAUGUGUUAACCUAUAGGUUAAAGUGUUUCCUAGUACCAAAGACUUGGGUGUUAUUCCACACAGGUACAAUGUAUGCACCUGGGUGAAACCAAUUUGUGAUGCCUGUUGCCUAUAAUGGUUUAAUAGUGGUGAAAGUGAUGUUAAAAUCAAGUCACUCACUUA